CUUUCAACAACGGAUCUCUUGGUUCCAGCAUCGAUGAAGAACGCAGCGAAAUGCGAUAAGUAAUGUGAAUUGCAGAAUUCAGUGAAUCAUCGAAUCUUUGAACGCACAUUGCGCCCCUCGGUAUUCCGGGGGGCAUACCUGUUCGAGCGUCAUUACACCCCUCAAGCGUAGCUUGGUAUU
rnacentral:rRNA from 1 species